GAGCAGAACAUGACCGCUGAGGUGGUCGUAGCCUGCGAUGGUUACUGGAUUGCUAGUCGGUCCUUUGUGUCCACAAUACGUGGACAGUAAUCCUCAGUUUUCAAACUUAUGAAUAAUACUUGAAUAACCGCUUGGUGCCGGGUUUUUGUGUCCAUUUCCCUGAAACGGCUUCACGCCCUUAAGUGAUGUGAUCCCAGGUCACAAACCUUGCAGCUCUCUUCCUUGUGGGAAGUAUCAUGUAAAGCUGGAUCAAGCUGUGUACCCGGUGAAGCUGGAUCCAGCUGAGACUCCUGUGACGCUGAGUAUCCUGUCUAGCUGGACUAAGCUGCGUUAGAUAUAUUCUAGAGCAGCCACAGCCCGAAAGCCAAGCACAAAAAGUUAAAUGAGUUAAACGAGCAAUUUUAUGAGCAUGACGAAAGUUUGGCAAAUGUUCCCGAAAUACGAGGAACGAAAAAAGAUACAACGAAGCAUUCGAUUGCUCUGCGUGUUGAGAACUAAAAGUUUACCAAUGCUUAGCCCGCGGCCCCUAUGUGAACGAAGCUACGCCACAGUCACCAAAUACUUAGAAUUGCAUUUACGUUUUGCCGUGCAUAUGCAGCAGACUGAAGUUGAAAUACGCAAAUGUCUACAUCAGAGCAUGCAUGCAAUCUUUAAGGACAACGUCAGCGCAGAUCUAUGUUGCUACUUCGAAGUCACCCAGAAUUAUAACUCAUAAAUGGUGUGUGGCCAAUGACCGGAACCUGCCGGAACUAAAUGAUUAUAAAAAGAGGGAGGUUAAGAGCACGACGACGUCGAGGAUU